AACGCAUCUUGCGCUCCUUGGUAUUCUGAGGAGCAUGCCUGUUUGAGUGUCAUUAAAUUCUCAACCACACUCAGUGUGGCUUGGAUUUGGGAUUGUUGUGGGCUUUUGUGUAGUCUGCUCCCCUGAAAUUAAUUAGCGGUAACCUUGGUGGAGCCGUCUACAGGUGUGAUAAUUAUCUACAUCCUAGACAUCUGCUGGAAUGCUGCUUUCUAAACCUUACUUGUAUUUGACAAUCUUGACCUCAAAUCAGGUAGGACUACCCGCUGAACUUAA
rnacentral:misc_RNA from 1 species